RCGGAGGAAAARAAACUAACAAGGAUUCCCCUAGUAACUGCGARUGAAGCGGGAAAAGCUCAAAUUUAAAAUU
rnacentral:rRNA from 1 species